AUUGGGAGAGUCAAACUUAUGACAUAUUUGGUUCAUAAUUGAACAAAAAUUAGAAGUAGAACUGGAUCGUAUUAAUUGGAAUAAAAAAUAGAAUGAUAAAUCAUCCAAAAUUAUUUGUUUAUCAUUGAAAUGAAAAUCAAAUGAACAUUUAGAAUAUUGAGAGAGUGUUUUGGUUAAAGAGAAAUUAAGGAGGUGAUGAAGGGAGAGGAGGAAAAAGUGUUUUUGAGAGAAAGUUUUGAGUGAUUUACUUUGUAACGAGCCAAUUCAGAAUUCAAAAUUAAAUUGAAAUAUAAAUAGAUUGAGUUAUUUUCAUUAUAAAAUACAAUCAAAAUUGAAAUUCGAUUUCUGUAAAACAAACAACCAUUAUUAGAAUCAAUAAAUUUCGUUCCGAUUUCAUAAUUGAAAACAGGUGAACCAAACAAGUCCUUAGUUUACACAGCUUUUUGAAUGACAGA
rnacentral:lncRNA from 1 species